CGCGUAGGCGGCCUUCUAAGUCGAACGUGAAAUCCCUGGGCUCAACCCCAGGAACUGCGUCCGAUACUGGAAGGCUUGAAUCCGGGAGAGGGAUGCGGAAUUCCAGGUGUAGCGGUGAAAUGCGUAGAUAUCUGGAGGAACACCGGUGGCGAAGGCGGCAUCCUGGACCGGUAUUGACGCUGAGGCGCGAAAGCCAGGGGAGCAAACGG
rnacentral:rRNA from 1 species